UACGGAGGGUGCAAGCGUUGUCCGGAAUCACUGGGCGUAAAGAGCUCGUAGGCGGCUUGGUAAGUCGGAUGUGAAACCUCCAGGCUCAACCUGGAGUCGCCAUCCGAUACUGCCAUGGCUAGAGUCCGGUAGGGGCCCACGGAAUUCCUGGUGUAGCGGUGAAAUGCGCAGAUAUCAGGAGGAACACCGGUGGCGAAGGCGGGUCUCUGGGCCGAAACUGACGCUGAGGAGCGAAAGCGUGGGGAGCGAACAGG
rnacentral:rRNA from 1 species